GACGAACGCUGGCGGCGUGCCUAAUACAUGCAAGUCGAACGGAAAGGCCCUGCUCUUGUGGGGUGCACGAGUGGCGAAAGCGUGAGUAACACGCGUGUAUACUGCCCUCGUCUUUGGGAUAACUUAAGGAAACUGGGGCUAAUAACGGACAGGAGUCUCCGAUGCACGGUGGGGGUUGGAAAGUUUCGGCGGGUGGGGAUGGACUCGCGGCUUAUCAGCUUGUUGGUGGGGUAGUGGCUUACCAAGGCUUUGACGGGUAGCCGGCCUGAGAGGGUGACCGGCCACAUUGGGACUGAGAUACGGCCCAGACUCCUACGGGAGGCAGCAGUGGGGAAUAUUGCACAAUGGGCGGAAGCCUGAUGCAGCAACGCCGCGUGCGGGAUGACGGCCUUCGGGUUGUAAACCGCUUUCGCCUGUGACGAAGCGUGAGUGACGGUAAUGGGUAAAGAAGCACCGGCUAACUACGUG
rnacentral:rRNA from 1 species